rnacentral:rRNA from 1 species
GCUGGAGGAGAGAACUAACCAGGAUUCCCUCAGUAACGGCGAGCGAACCGGGAAGAGCCCAACUUGAAAAUCUGGAUCUCACCUUAUUGAUGAUCUCGAAUUGUAGUCUAGAGAGGCGCUCUCUAAGUCGCGGCAGGCUCAAGUUCCCUGGAACGGGACGUCAGAGAGGGUGAGAGCCCCGUCGGUCUGUUUGUGCGGCUUUCCACGAGACGCUUUCGAGGAGUCGGGUUGUUUGGGACUGCAGCCCUAAGCAGGUGGUAAAUUCCAUCUAAGGCUAAAUAUUGGCGAGAGACCGAUAGCGAACAAGUACUGUGAAGGAAAGAUGAAAAGAACUUUGAAAAGAGAGUUAAAAAGUGCUUGAAAUUGUUGAGGGGGAAGCGUUUGGAUGCUAUGGGUGCCGCCCGGUUUUAGGCGGUUCAUGGAGCCGUCUCUCAACGCGGGGGGCUGGUCAGCGUGGGUUGGCCGGGCGUGAGAAUCGUCCGCUUUGUCGCGGUACAUGGCGCCCGGGCGACCGAGGAUGAAUUUCUU